AGGCUUAAUUGAGUUGAGUUGAGUAUUUGUCAAGAGAGCAGCAUGCAUUUUUUUUUUUCUUAAAUGUGUGUAGUGGUAAUCACGUAAAGAACAAAUGAUCAAAGGUGGUGUGCAAAAGGGGGCCAUGAUCUAUGGGUGUGGAAUGAGAGGAGGCCAAAGUGGAAAAACUAAGAGGAAAAUUUGGAAAAAAGAGGGGCCAUGGGGCAGUGGCCACCCCCUCCCUGUGGCGUUGUUUUCGGGUGGAAUCUGUUUUUCCAUCCAAUUGGAAUGCUACUUUCAGGGUUCUUCUUUUGAGGGUAGUUAUAUUGGAUUUUAUAAUGUUUCCAUACUGUAAAUGUUUGAUAAUACAGCUUCCAAAUAUAUUAUUCAUGCCAGUACAGUGACCUAGCUGAAUCAGAACGGACCUUAGUUUUGAGAAAUUUAAGCAGGCAAUGAUGAGGUAGAACCAGAAUGUCACUCCUCAGUCAGGGGAUGACAGUGAAAUUGGAAAGGAUGUGGAUAAAUCUCAUAUGAUAGUUGUUACAGAUGCCUGCCUUGCACUUUUUGCUUCUGGGGAGUCACCCAUUUCUGCUUGUGUUCUGAUUAAUUACGAGUUACCAA
rnacentral:misc_RNA from 1 species